rnacentral:rRNA from 1 species
AACAUUUGGAAACAGAUGCUAAUACCGCAUAAAACCUAACACCGCAUGGUGUAGGGUUGAAAGAUGGUUUCGGCUAUCACUUUAGGAUGGACCCGCGGUGCAUUAGUUAGUUGGUGAGGUAAAGGCUCACCAAGACCGUGAUGCAUAGCCGACCUGAGAGGUAAUCGGCCACACUGGGACUGAGACACGGCCCAGACUCCUACGGGAGGCAGCAGUAGGGAAUCUUCCACAAUGGACGAAAGUCUGAUGGAGCAACGCCGCGUGAGUGAAGAAGGUUUUCGGAUCGUAAACUCUGUUGUUGGAGAAGAAUGUAUCUGAUAGUAACUGAUCAGGUAGUGACGGUAUCCAACCAGAAAGCCACGGCUAACUACGUG